rnacentral:rRNA from 1 species
CCUCUCCUCGCACCGCACGCGCGCGCCGGGUCCCAAUCGAACCUCACGACGCACGCCGCGACCCGAUCCCGAUCCCACCGCGCCAGGAGCAUCGCCCCGUCCGCCCCGUCCGUAUCCGGCACCCCCGAGAACCAGAGUCCCGACCGACACCGCCCGCCACCCCGACUCUCCCGCGGCAACGCCUGAAAUACCCCGCCCCAGCGCCCGAUCCCGCGAGAAAACUCGCCACCCGUCGCUUGGGCUUGACUCCUCGUCUGCCUCGGAUCGAGUAGAAACUUCCGGUGGUAGGUCGCCCCGGCUUUACCCCACCGGCCACCACCCCCGCCCCGCCCCCAAAACUGUUCUCCUCCUCCGCCUCGUGGAAGCCGACUCUCUUUCCGUGGGGAGCGAAGCGGGGCGGGCGAUGAGGCCGGGGGCGCCAACGCGGAGCUCACCCACCCAGUCCACCGCAAGCAUGUGGCCGGGCAGGUGAACUCCACUCCCCCGCUCUCCCCACGCGCCGCGCGGUUAAAUUGCUCGCCUCCUCCACCCCGCAGACCGCAGCAGCAGAGGCCGAUCGAGCCGCGGCGGCAUGGGUCCCAACCUCAAGUACCGGGCUGGGCUCGUCCUCAUCGUCGCCGUCGUGCUCAUAUGGGUCACCUCCGCCGAGGUCACGCAGGGGAUUUUCGCUAACUACAAGCAACCAUUCGCAAUUACUUACUUGGGGGCCUCCCUUAUGGUGAUCUACAUCCCGUUGGCAUUUCUGAAGGAUUUUAUAUACAGAUUGCUGAGAAGGAAUUCUGGAAGCAGCAAGGCCUCAAAAAUCGCGAGCAAAUCUUCAUUUGGCGGUAGCGCUCCUCUGAAGAAUGGUGAAUUUCAGAAGAUGCUGGAAAUGGAACCACAGAAAACCGUGGUGAUAAAAAUUACUGAUGUGGACAUUCCUGUACUAGAAGAGACGAAACCACUCAUCUGUGGAAUUGGUGAAUGUGAGGGUGGGGUUUUGAAGGAGCAACAGCUUUCCACCAAGGAGAUUGCAAUUUAUGGGUUGUAUCUUUGUCCCAUAUGGUUUGUCACAGAGUAUUUGUCAAAUGCGGCACUUGCAAGAACCAGUGUGGCAAGCACUACUGUACUAUCUUCAACUUCGGGACUCUUCACCCUUUUCAUUGGUGUGCUACUGGGCCAAGAUUCCAUAAAUGCUGCCAAAGUUAUUGCUGUUUUUGUUAGCAUGGCUGGUGUGGCAAUGACAACUAUGGGCCAGACUUGGGCAACAGAUGAAUCAGAAGUAAGCAAUUCAGGGGCCACACAGAGGACUCUUCUAGGAGACAUGUUUGGUCUUAUGUCAGCUAUGUCAUAUGGUCUAUUCACAGUGCUUCUCAAAAAGUUUGCUGGAGAAGGAUCAGAAAAGGUUGAUGUCCAAAAACUGUUUGGUUUUCUCGGACUUUUCAGUCUUUGUCUUCUCUGGUGGCUUGUGUGGCCAUUAACUGCACUUGGCAUUGAGCCAAAGUUUACAAUGCCCCACUCAGCUAAAGUGGAUGAAGUGGUGCUGGCAAACGGCCUUAUUGGGAGUGUGCUAUCAGACUACUUUUGGGCUCUUUCCGUGGUUUGGACUAAUCCCUUGGUGGCCACGUUAGGCAUGUCGCUCACAAUUCCACUAGCGAUGGUUGCUGACAUGGUCAUCCACGGCCGACAUUAUUCAGCAGUCUACAUUUUUGGCUCUGUCCAGGUAUUUUCUGGGUUCGUCAUCGCCAAUCUUGCCGACCGCGUUUCACGUUUCUUAGGUCUAUAGUCGUGAAAUGUACAAGGUUGAAUCGGAGUGUACAUCUGGAAGGUUGGGUAGGGUUAGUAACGAAGUGUACAUUGGGUGUUUGGGUUAGUUAGUUAUAAGGACAGCUCUGUCUUCUCUGUAAAUCAUAAGGAUGGGGGAAAUGGCAUUGCAGCUCUGUUUCCUUUUUACCUUCGGCCCCCUUUACACGCAGGAAUGGAUAAUUUUGGUGUGGUGGAAUUGAAACAGUGAAAGCUUAGCAUACGUAAGGAACAUUAUGAAUUUAUGAUGUCGUGGCAGACCUUUGAAACUGUAAAUUCUUAGCUUUUGCUAUGCUAUGUUAACGCC